CGGUUAACCAACGAAACGACUCGCAUAAAUAUAAACGAAUCACAAACAGAGUUCAAAUAUUGAACUCACCAAAGUGAGGCUGGUUGCUCGUGUGACCAGAGCCUCCUCGUCGUGUCCUCACUUCUAUCACAGGAGGCUCUGGCACCCAGGGUACUUAUACGGUGGCGACAAGUUGCAACAUUCCAACUUGCCGAUAAUAGAUUUUUAAUUAAUGAGGGUGAACCAUCAGUGGGGUGAACACAUAUAGCUCUAAUUAAUAACCAGAAAACUCUCAAAUGCGCAAACAUCUUCACGAGAUCAAAUGUCUCUUACAUGUGCAG